CUUGGUGGCCUUAGCGACGGGGAAACACCCGUUCCCAUUCCGAACACGGCAGUUAAGACCGUCAGCGCCGAUGGUAGUGAGACAUCAGUUUCGCAAGAGUAGGUCGCCGCCAAGA
rnacentral:rRNA from 1 species